UGAAACAUCUAAGUACCCGGAGGAAGAGAAAGCAAAUGCGAUUCCCUGAGUAGCGGCGAGCGAAACGGGACCAGCCCAAACCAAGAGGCUUGCCUCUUGGGGUUGUAGGACACUCUGUACGGAGUUACAAAGGAACGAGGUAGAUGAAGAGGUCUGGAAAGGCCCGCCAUAGGAGGUAACAGCCCUGUAGUCAAAACUUCGUUCUCUCCUGAGUGGAUCCUGAGUACGGCGGAACACGUGAAAUUCCGUCGGAAUCCGGGAGGACCAUCUCCCAAGGCUAAAUACUCCCUAGUGACCGAUAGUGAACCAGUACCGUGAGGGAAAGGUGAAAAGCCCCCCGGAAGGGGAGUGAAAGAGAUCCUGAAACCGUGUGCCUACAAGUAGUCAGAGCCCGUUAACGGGUGAUGGCGUGCCUUUUGUAGAAUGAACCGGCGAGUUACGAUCCCGUGCAAGGUUAAGCAGAAGAUGCGGAGCCGCAGCGAAAGCGAGUCUGAAUAGGGCGAAUUGAGUACGUGGUCGUAGACCC
rnacentral:rRNA from 1 species